UACGUAGGUGGCGGACGUGUCCGGAAUUACUGGGUGUAAAGCGCGUGUAGGCGGGAGGCCAAGUCUGUGGUGAAAUCGCUCGGCUUAACUGGGCGGGGUCCAUGGAAACUGGUCACCUGGAGGUCGGUAGAGGCAAGUGGAAUUCCCGGUGUAGUGGUGAAAUGCGUAGAGAUCGGGAGGAACACCAGUGGCGAAGGCGGCUUGCUGGGCCGGACCUGACGCUGAGA
rnacentral:rRNA from 1 species